rnacentral:rRNA from 1 species
AUACGGAGGGUGCAAGCGUUGCUCGGAUUUACUGGGCGUAAAGAGCAUGUAGGCGGUUUGGUAAGUUUGAUGUGAAAGCCCACGACUCAAUCGUGGAAGUGCAUUGAAUACUGCUAGACUAGAAUGUGGGAGAGGUGAGCGGAAUUCCAGGUGUAGAGGUGAAAUUCGUAGAUAUCUGGAGGAACAACUGAGGCGAAGGCGGCUCACUGGACCAAUAUUGACGCUGAGAUGCGAAAGCGUGGGGAGCGAACAGGAUUAGAAACCCUAGUAGUCC